rnacentral:rRNA from 1 species
AGAGUUGAUAUGGCUCAGGACGAACGCUGGCGGCGUGCUUCAUACAUGCAAGUCGAACGAGAAUCUCCAGCUUGCUGGAGAGGAAAGUGGCGGACGGGUGAGUAAUGUGUAGAGAAUCUGCCCUUAAGCGGGGGACAACAGAGGGAAACUUCUGCUAAUACCCCAUAUGCGCGUAGUUGAGAUACUAUUCGUGAAAGAUUUAUCGCUUAAGGAUGAGUCUGCAUCUGAUUAGCUAGUUGGGGGUGUAAUGGACCACCAAGGCGACGAUCAGUAGCUGGUUUGAGAGGAUGAUCAGCCACAAUGGGACUGAGACACGGCCCAUACUCCUACGGGAGGCAGCAGUAGGGAAUUUUGCGCAAUGGGCGAAAGCCUGACGCAGACCAACGCCGCGUGAUCGAGACGCUUUUCGGAGUGUAAAGAUCUGUCAGUAGGGACGAAGAAUGACUGUACCUACAGAGGAAGCACCGGCUAACUCCGUGCCAGCAGCCGC